rnacentral:lncRNA from 1 species
CAACAGCUAGACCGGCAGGUCUGGAGUGACAAAUGUCAUUAACAUUCCGACGCCUGAAGAACGUCGUGUACAAGGCCGACUGAGUCAUAGCAUGGUUAUAAUAACUCACAUGAGGUAUUAACAAAACAUAAGAUUUACCGGAUUUUCCUUCAAUUAAACGAGUUUAUGUCGAUUUAAACUUGCAUAAUUUACGAUUUAUAUGGAAAAAUACUAGUACAUUGUUAGUCUUGGCAUUGAAAACUACAAUACAAUUUAAAAGGAAAAUAUUGUAUUUUUCUUAAACGAACAUUACUUUUACAAAGAAAAGGAUUUCAAAAUUUCAUUCAAAAGCUUAUGAACUCACCAACUUAAUUGUUAACACUCUUUCAAAACUACUUGUAUUCUCAAGGAAUCAAUAAUACAAGUAAUUAGCUGCUUUUGAGGAUGGGAUGCUAAGGCGUCAAACAUUUCAUUUUUGUCAACAUAAUGUAAUUGAUUUAGAAACAUAUAAACUUAUAAUAUGAUGUAACUUUUUCACUUAUAUUUAUGUUGGUUAUGUUUGCUAUGGUCACUAUUAUACUCGUUGUUAUGAUACUGUACAUGAAGUCCUCCACCUCCGGACGUUUUCGCCAUUCUUGGUUUGGGGGUGUGACAGCUAUGCCGAUUUUUUUGUUUAUAGUUUAUUCGUAUUCUUAUUGUAAUUUUGAUUAUAUCUAUAUUCUUCUCCUUCUGUUAUUUUCUGUAUAUGUUAUCUUAUACCGAAGAUAUUCAUUUUUUUCCUACCUAUACACAAAAGGAAUAAAUUGAUCAUAUAAAUCACCAUAAAGGAAACCGAAAACUAUACAUGUUAAUCUAUUAUGAUUUGAAUUUUGUAGCAUCAAGUUGUGGAUAUAAAGGGCAAAUAAGUCGAAUCUUAUAAUAAGAAUAAGCUUUACAACAUUAGUUACCCUUUAUUUAUGAAGUUGGACAAUUUUACCCUUUAUAUAUUAUUUGGAAAUUAUAUAUCUUUAAACUUUUCUUAAUUACCAAUAAGCUUUACAACAUUACAAUAUUUUACAUUGUAUUGAUUCUUUGUAGAACAUAUAAGUGCAGAAAAACAUUUUAUUUUUGUUGUUUUAAAAUGGAUUUGGAAUUAUCAACAAAGUUAAAAUCGAAAAUAGUCCAAAUGUUUCAAAUCCAAUAAAUAUUUCAAUCAAAAUAAUACAAACAUAUAGGAAUAUGUGUGUUAUGUUAUUAAGGUAUUUGAAUUUAUAUAGUAUAUUUUUCAACAGAUUUGUAUAAUUUUCUGUUUUUUCAGUUAAAUGGUUCAAAUGCAAUCUGAGUUUGAAUCAUAAUAAUACCAACAUAUUGGAAUAUUUCUGUUAACUUAGUCAGGGAUUUGAAUUUUCAUAUAUUUUUCAUCAAAUUUAUACAAUUUGGUUUUUUUACACUACAAGAAAAAUACCAUUUAAUGACGCGCAAACAAUGACACUCGCUGAUUUACGAUACAUAUUUUUGUGCGCCCUUAAAAAUAAUGUCAGCCUUCCAAAAUUUGAAGGAUAGAGGACACGUAUUUUUGCGCACCCUAAAAUUAAUGUCUAAUAAAAAAACACUGAGGGCACCUCUCAUAAAAAGCGUGUCCUCUACAAAUGUCACUUUAUAAUUUUUACUAAACGCGCGUGUCUGGGACUCAAGUAAGGGGGAAAAUGAAAUCCGCCAAAAUUUUGAACACCCGCUUCCUCUUCCUCUGUACUCUCUACACCCGCCAGAUCGACUUCAUUCUCUCCCUUCCUUCUCUGUGCAAAGCCUAAUCAAACAUAAUGCAUUUGCAAUGGUAAUAUCUUCUUUCACAAAAUAGACCAUUGACUGAAGAACUAGGGCUUUUGAUGAAUCAGACAUCACCAACAACGAUAGCUACCCAUCACAAUUUGUGUUUUCUCUCGGACUCCACCGUUCCAACAUCGCACCACAACAGCGCCUGCAUCUGAUGCAUCUUCUCCAUCACUGGGUUCUGGUUCUGGAAAGCUCUCUCUUUUUGAAGCAGAAGGCACAAUCUCAGCUUCUUGGAAUUGCUUAUUCUAUUUACUGAAGAAAGCAUAACAAAAUCAAGUAACAUUCCGAGCUGCAAAUAGUGUAACUACUGCUCUACCAUUUUUGGUCUCCGAUAUCCGUCGUCCAGGUGUCCUUCGUGUCAUAUCAUGUUUAAUCAUUGAAGAUUAUUCACAGGUACGCUAAAUUUAAAUCUAAAUCUUUGCAUACUUUUCCAACCUUUAAUCUUUUGUUAAGUUUUUUAUUGACCAAAAGUUGUAUAUUAAUUAGGUUCAUUCAGAGAAACUGAGCAUGUUGGUUGAAGUAUCAAAGAGUGGGAUGGUUACCAGUUCUUUAGGAUCUCAAUACCGCCUUCAAUAUGAUGCAAAAUGUGAUAUUUUUGGAGCUUUAUGGAGGGUUUUAGGAGAUAAUAGUUCUGCUCAGAGAGUAUUUGGUGAAGCCACUGGGUUUUCUCUUCUCCUAACAAAACUUCAUAGUUUCCAGGGAGAUAAAGGGCUGAUUGAGCCAUCGCUUCUAACACUAUGCAUGAAAUUUCACUUAUUUAUUGCGUGUAACAAUAGCUGGGGAGAUAAACGGCUGAUUGAGCCAUCGCUUCAACACCUGAAACUGCCACAUCAUCAAAUGCUCAUGCAAAUUCUUCUGCUGCUUUUUCUAAAUACAGCUGGGGAGAUAAAGGGCUUGUUUCUUCCUGAUAAAGAGCGGAUAUAUAAUGCUGGUGCUUUGAAGGUCCUCAUUCGUUCAUUGCUGCUCUUUACUCCAAAAUUAUAGUUGGAGUUGCUGAAACUUAUCGAAGAGCUUGCUUCAGCUAAACCUUUUAAUCAAGAAAACCUAACAUCUGCUGGUAAGUAAUUAACUCUCUUUACAUGUUUUAGAAGCUAUUAGAAGAAGUAAUACGUAUCUUAUCUUUUCUAUGUGUUUUUUAUUCAGGUUGUGUGGGUAUUCCCUCUUUCCUGCUGGAAAGUCUCUAUAGGUAACAAUUAGGACACCAAUAACCUUCUCAAGGGUCAGUGAUUUAUCAUGGAAGAUACGAUCUUGUUAUCUGUUUGAAGAAGUAUUGACACCUGGUUCCAUAUAUUUUAUGUAUAUUUUGGGCUGAGGGUACAAGGGACUUUUUCAAGACACACAUCUUCUUCAGUUUGUCCCUAGCCAGGCUUGUUGUGCGGGUAGUAUGGCCAUUUUAGACUCUUUAGAAACCGAUUUGGCAUUGGUUUCCAACAUUCAGAGGCCUGAGGGUGCUGCUAAUAAGCAAGAAAGUUCUAAAACGGAUUGUAGUGGAAUGUUUUGGGAUUUUGAAAAAUUAGGGAACCUCACACUUCAGCUCUCUGGAAGGAAACUCAUAUUUGCAUUUGAUGGAACAUCAACAGAAGCCUUUCCAGCUUCCGGAACUUUGUCAAUGCUCAAUUUAGUUGAUCUCCUGUCAGCAGCUGCGUCUCCUAUUGGAGGUCAACUUCUUUUUAACUCUGCUGGUAAUUAACUCUGUUUGUAUAUUUAACUCUAUUUGUAUAUUUUAAAAGCUGUUAGAAGCAAUCCGUAUCUUAUCUUUGCUAUUUGUUUUUUUCAAGUUGUGUGGAGCUUCUUUUGAGGAUAUAUUUAAUAGUUUUUUAUUUCAAAAAAAAAAGAAUCUUUUUUUUCAAGUAAGAGCUGCACCCUCAUAUUAUAUUGUAUUGUUAUUUAACGUGUUUUACAAUUGAUUACCUCCCAUUAAGUUGAUGUCUGAAUUUGCUAAUUCUUUGCAAUUUUUUUUUGUAGAUCAAACUUUAAUAGGUUAACAGUGGCUUCUUUACAGCUAUAUUGGAGAGGGGUGAUGAAAUGAUUUGUGCUGCAUCCAUCAGGUAGGACUUUGUUGCUUUACUUAAUUUUAAUAAAAUUUGUCAAUUUCUUACCUUAAUUUCAAAUUUUAAUAAAAUUUGUUUAGGAUCCAUGGAACCCAGCUAGCAUAGAUGCCAUUUAUUGGGACCCGCCAUAUUUAUAGACGCCAAGGGAUGUGUCUUAGGUUGUUAUCUGCUAUUGAAUCGGUAAGGAAAAGUAGAACCUUUUAUUUGCUUUUGGUGCGUGUAAAUUACUUAUAUAUCCUUUUCUUUUCAGGUACUCUCAUCCCUUCAUAUUUAGAAAUUGAUAAUUCUUGCCAUUGUUGAACACAUGCAUAUAUGGACUGAUGUUUUUAAUUUCAAGCCUCUUGAGGAAACACACAGACAAGAAAUGAGGUCCAUCAACAUGUUGGUGUUUCCUGGAACAAAUAUGUUGUAGAAACCACUAAUUCCAGAGACAGGUUCAUCAUGGGAAAAGAAUUGCUGAUGACGAUUACAAGGGAGAAGGAUUUGCUCUACAGAAUGGGAAUUUGACGCCUUCCACCAGAAACCUUAGUCCUUAUUUCAAAGUUCUAUUUUGGUGUUUUCAGGACAGUGUAUCAUUGCCCGUUUUGCAAUUUAUGUCGGCUUGGAAAAGGGCUUGGAGUUGAUUUCUUUCAUUGCAUGACAGGCAACUACUGCUUGGGGAUAAAGCUGGUGGAUCAUAAGUGUAGGGAGAAAGGCUUGGAAACAAAUUGCCCCAUUUGUUGUGAUUUUUUGUUGACUUCAAGCACAGCUGUUAGACCCCUUCCAUGUGGUCAUUUUAUGCACUCUGCUUGUUUCCAAGUGGGCCCAUCAUUCCUAACUCCUGUAUUUAUUUUCUUAUUACAUUUUUAUAUUUUCUAAAUACAGUAUAAUUUUUGUCAUGUAUAGGCAUAUGCAUGCACGCAUUACAUUUGUCCAAUAUGCAGCAAAUCCAUGGGAGAUAUGUUGGUAAGUUAGUAGACAAUUUUUUUUUCCACUAUGGGACGAUUUUUGUAAGUUGCUAUAAAAUAAAUUAGAUUUGGAUCAGUAAACAACAAAGUACAUGAAAUUGAAAUUGAAAUUGGUAUUAUCUAGCUGAAUCGAUAUCGAUUUGACUCCAAAUUGGAUUCAAUCGAAGGAUUAUUUGGUAAUUAAGGUGUUCAUUCUUUUAUUUUCAAUAGAGACGAGUUUUGUUGAAGAGACUAAUGACUGUAUUGAAGUGGGACCAGUUGCAUGUUUACCAGAACCACCAGAUCCAAAUGACUUAUAUCCUAGACAAUCUAGAAGACAAUUAUCCUUUGUUCCUUUUUCAAUCUUUCUUAUAAAAAUAGCAUCUAUUCAUACAUUUACAUGGUCUUUCACAAUCUUUCUAUAUUGUUUGGCUUAACAGCAAAGGAGUCAAAUUGGCUUGGAGCUAUCACAUCAGCUGCUGCAUUGGCUAUUGCUCAGAAGGUAUUUUAAUAUUCUAUUUGUAUUUUAUCUUUUGAUGUUCAUCUUUCUUAACAAACAGUUUUUAACAUUACACUCAACCAUGUUAUAGGUCUUUAAAGGCUUGUAUGAAAAUGCAGCAAACACAACUCAUGUUGGUGCUCAUCUUGCCAUGUUAACUAAAAUUACAUGAAGUUAAAGUUGGGUCCUCUUCUUUGUGUUGAGUGCUUGUUGCUCUGAUUUUGACCUAUGUGUUGAGUGCUUUUCUGUUGGUGCUGAAGUAUAUCGUCAUAAAAGCAAUCAUCCAUAUAGAGUUAUGGUUAGUAAUUUCUUGUUGGUAUAUAAUUAUUGAAGUUUGUUGUUGUGUUCCAAAAUUUAUCCCCGGUGACCACAAGCCACCACCGGAGGACCACCGUUGAACACCCCCAAAAUCCGGUGGCCACUGCCCACAGAACAGGUAAGGAUGCUUUGAUUUGUUUUUUUACUGAUGUGUUGUUUUUCAGUGAUCACCAGCCACCACCGGAAGACCACCGUUGAAGCCAACCCGGAGAAAUCCCACUGCCACUGCCAUAUAACAGGUAUGUUUUUCUAUGUUAUUUUAUUUUGGUUGGAUAAUCUUGCAAAUUUCUGAUAUCUUGUAUGCCUCGUAUGAUUAUUUGUAUAAUUGUUUGAAAUUGAUUGUGUGAAAGUCAUAUACUAAAGCAAGGUUGGUGUAAGAGUUGAUGACGAGAACAUUGUUCCAAGACCUUCAAUGAGUUAUGAUGAUGUCCUUUAAUAGCAAUGUAGUAUUAGGUUAUAUAGUUAGCGAUGGUUAUUUGUAUUUGACAUUUAAAAGCAAUGAAUUAUCUUUUUUAUUUAUUGUAUUUUAUUUUGUAUUUUGUAUGACAUUAACUUUUGUGCAAUGGAUUGUAUUUUUUUGUAUAUGGUAUUUUAUUUUCUAUUAUGAGACAUGAAAUGCAAAUUUAAUUUGAAAAUUAGUAAAUCUAUAAAUAUAUUUUUUUUUAAAAAUAAAAAUUACGAUACGCAAAAAUGUGUGUCAUCUUCAUUUAUGACAUGUCCUUUCUUGACAGCGGCUUUAAUGAUACGCAAUGUGUAUCAUAAAUGCGCGUCGUCUCUCGUUAUGACAGGGUCUUCCUUGACGCGCAUUUGCGCGUCGUCUGAGCGUUUUACGACGUGCAAUGAGCGUCGUAAAAGGCCUUUUUUCUAGUAGUGUUAAAGUUGAAUGACUACUCCCAAUGUCACUUUGAUUUCUGAUGUGGAUGUGCUGAGGGACGAUUUGACUCUAAAAGUUUGUGUCAUCAACUUGUGGAAACAUAUGUCAUUCUACAACAAGUAUGACAUUUGGUCAAUUGAAUUAAUCUUACUUAUUGAACAAGUAUCUUACAGUCUAUAUAUCAAUUAUUUCUUACAAAUACACAUUUAAGUACAAUUAUUUAUGUAGUUGAUCAUAUAUUACUUUUUUAUAGGGGAGCAAGAUCCAAGCUACUGUUUGGAAAAAAUUUCUCUAUCGAUUUAAAAAUAUAUUAAAGGAUGGGUCGGCUUUUUAUAAUACAAAUCCAAGUUUUGCAUCACAAAAUCCCGGUAGUUUCAAAAUAACUCCUCAAGAUCAAAAAACUAACCUUUGUACAGGAUACAGUUCUCAAAGAAUGUGCAGAAUUUUCUGGAUCUAGAUUUGGAUUUUUAUUUGUUGACUAUCAAACUGUACCGUCGCUGCUACAUCCUGAAGAUACAUACGUUGGUUAGUUAAUAUUUAUUAAUGUAAUUAUAAACUAAAAAUUUAAUUAGUCUUAAUUAUGUUUAUCUGCUAUAUAUUAUAUAUUAUAUCUUGAAAUUUCAAACAACUCUUCAAAUGUAUGUUUUUUUUUUAGUUUUACAAACGUUAUUAGAUUGGUAGUUGCUAUUACUGAGAUGAUGAGGGAUGAUCCUGAAAAGUCUAAACACAGACUAACCAUUCACAUCCAAAAUGCAAAGUUUGUUGUUCAUAUCUUUAUAUUUGUAUUAUAUAUUAUGUUAAAACAUGACUUUUAAAAAACAAUUGUUGAAUUUUCAGUGCUUUGCAACUCCGUGUAAAUUUGUAGGGUGAUUAUGCGUACAAGAUGCAAGAUUACAUAGAUAACAAUCCACCAAAUCAACAUGUCAUUGUUAUACUUCACUUUGCAAAGAUUAGUGUUUGGAGAGGCAUAUUUUUUUAUUAUCAACACAUUUUAACAUCUCUGAUUAUUAAGCUAAUUAUUAUUAUCUUUGUUAUAGAUCGUCCGAGUGUUAACACCUACUUUACAUCUUCAAAUCUGUUCAUUAACUCUUCAAAAAAAGGUAACACAUUUCUACGUAGGUUUUAAUUAUACAAAAAUUCAUUACAACAAUACUAAAAACUAUUUCUUUGUGUAAUUUACAGUUUAGACGGGGAUCAUCGUCCUGAUUCAUCUUCGAAUACGAUUUCAGUAAUCGAAUCUAAACAACUUUCCAAAUUAGAUGAUUUCAUAGUUAAAACUAAGCUGAAGACUAUUGCUGAGAUUUUUGAACCCCUUUCGGUAUUUAUUUGAAUUUUUUAAACUUGCGUAUUUAUAUAUCUUUUAAAUAAUAAAAUGUUAUAAUUAACCAAUCAUUCAUGCAGAAAACUCAUUUCGUUAUAGUUGGCACUAUAAAGGGAAUCUUGUAGAAUGAGAAAUGGUUAUAUUCUGCUUGUACAAACUGCCGUUACAGGGCCUUUUCGGAUAAUGGUGCGGAUGAUGAUAUUGAUGUUCAUCAAUCAAAUGUAAAACCAUUUUCUUAUGAAUGUUGUAACCAAAAUUGCACAAAAAAAACAAUAACUUCUAUUGUACCGAGGUUCUUACUAUAAACUAUAGUCAUACAAAAACGUUUCUUACACCAUAUAUAUUAAAAAUAUUUUUGAUAUUUUCUAUCUUUUUUUUUUGUAGAUUGAUGAUCCUCAUUCGUGUGCAAGAUAAUACCGGGACUAUACCUUAACAAUGUUUGAAAAAGAAGGAAUGUAUCUAUUGAAGGCAUUAGCCAAAGAGUUGUUUAAGAAAACAACAAAGGUCGUUUCACUAUUAUGCAAUGAUUAUUUCGUUUCGUAUAUAUGUUCACUUUAACCGAAACAUGUAUUUACAUUAUUAUUCGAUGCAGAUUGGGGACAAUAGUGAUUUCGAUUAAUGUAUUGAAAGGUUUGAAAUUGGCAUCCAAGAUUUUUGUUAGUGAUUUCAAUGUGUCGCAAAAAACUAAUCAGUAUGGUAUUUCUAGAGUUAGUGAUAGUGUUGACUUAAUUGAACAACUCGAAAAUAAGUUUACCGAAUGACAGAUAAUUAAAUUUCUAAUUAUUGUUUUUUGGUUGUUAACUAGAUAUCCUUAUAGUAUUUCUAAAACAAUUUUUUUGUUAUUUUAUGUCUUAUGCAGAUUGGUAUAACACUCUUUGGAUGUUUGUUCGGGUGAAUUCGAAUCUCAAGAUAACAGGCCUUUAAAGGUUACAUGCAUAUUAAAACGUCAUAAAUAUGUUCUAAAAUAAUACUUGGAUGUAGAUAACAAUGCUGUAAAAUUGUUUUCUUUAGGAUGCAAUUUCUGGGACGGACGAUAACAUAACGCCUUCCACCAUUGACAACAACUUAACAACAAGCCCAAUGAAGUUUUUGAACACAACACCGGUUUUGAAACGAAAUUUGGAAGAAGUCUUUUAUUUGGAAUUGAAUGAAAACUUAUUGUCAUUAAAAACUCCAAAAGUAUCCCAGAUGGUCCAACAAAACAGUUGUUGGAGAUAAAGUUGGAAAAAAGUCGCUGAAUUUUAUUCGUGGUGAAUUGGAAGACAAUGUCCAUUUUAGAUUUUCAUGAACAAUUUUUAUUUUUUAUUUUGCAUGGUGCUUUUUUAACUAUCUUGGUUUGAUCUAAGGCGACAUUCUGGUUUUUAAGGUUAAAACUUUUCGAUUAUUUUCUUUUUAAAUAGUUUGUUAUGCUAUAUUGUUAUAGAUUGUUAUUAAUUUUUUCAUAUUUUUUUGUGAUUUUAUUUAUGCUUUUCCAUUCUUGGUACAAAAUGUCAUGCUACACACUAAUAUAUUUAUGGUUUUAAUAUUCAAAAUGAAAAAGUAGUUGUACUUGCUUAACUUUUCGAUAUAUUUUGUUAUUUUUAUAGAUCAAGUCCUAUAAUUUGUGUGUUUGUGUUAAUGUACUUUCAAAACGCAUUGCUAUAAUUUGUGUGUUUGUGUUAAUGUACUUCUGUACUACAAUAGCUUAAUAAGAAAAAACCAAAAAUGAAAAAAAAAAUCGAAAAAAAAAUCGAUUUAUACCAAUUAUAGCAAUGUACUUUCAAAGCACAUUGUCAUAAUUUGUGUGUUUGUCUUAAUAUUCCUAUACUAUAGUUCCUUAAUAAGACUAAAAAAUUGAAAAGUUAUUUAACGUGUUCAAAAAAUUUUAUAAUUUUAUUUAGAACCCAUAAUUCAAUUUUUAUUUUAUCUCUAAUGUAUAUAAAUACAAUGGUUAAAUACAAUAGUUAAAAACAAAUAGUAACUUACUUUCAAAAACUCAUUUCUCUAUACACUUUGAUCCUCCUAUAAUACAUGCAAUAUUGAUUAAGGGGAGGGGUAGUCUUUCUAUUGGUUUACAAGAUUAUAUUAUCUUUAAUUGUGCAUGUGUGUGUAUUACUGUGUGUGUAUGUGGGUGUGUUAAUUUACCUGUGUAUGUUUAUGUAAGUUUUUUUACACUGGCCAACUAUAUAAUUUAUUAUAUUAUUACCUGUUAUUUUUUUAAUUUUUAAAUGUAAUCUUCCAAUUUUAUUUUACUGUGUAUGUGUACUGUAACUAUGUCUUUAUAUAUGAUUUUUGUUUCAAUUUUAUUAUAUCACCACUUUUAAAAUUUUCUUUUGAACUAUAAAUUCAAAAACUCUUAAUAACUCAUUUUAAUGCAAGUAAUAGCAAUUUGCUUUCAUUUGAAAUAACCAUUAUACAUUUAAGGUUAACACAAGGUAAUGUUAUUAACACGAGGUAAAAAAAAUCUAUUUAUAUAUUCAAACUUGGAUUUGGUAGCACCCGAUUCAUAUUUUUAUUGAAUAUGUAUGUGUGUUAUUUGCAGAUCAAGAAAUUUGAUAAUGGAAACCAUGGAAGCUGCACUUCAUACCUCUAAAACAUCUCUUGGACAUGUUUUGAUCUAUCACAAAUAUAUUAUUAAUUUAGAAAUGGUCUAUACAUCAUUUUUUUCACAUUUUUUGUCCCUUUAUUAAGAAAGUACACAUUAGGCAUAUAAACAUUUUUAAAAAAAUAACAUGUUUCUUUGGUCAUAUUACUUUCUAUGUGUGUGUAAUUAAACUACAUGCCAGUGAAUUAUACCAUCUGUGAAACUUCAGAUCCUAAAUCAUCUGUUUUUCGUUACAUACCAGUGUGUUAUACGAUUUAAAUCUAAAGGGUGCAUGUAACGACGUGAAUUUUAUAAACAAUUUUCCAAAUUUUCAAACACAAUAAAACUCAUAUAACAUUCUCAAAAUCCCAUGUUUAUCAAAUGUCAUCACAAUAAAACAUAUCCCAGAAUCUCAAAAACAUAAUCUCCUGUCAGUGUGUACAAAUCAUGUCGGCGCCUUACCGCGAUCCUCGCUAGUACCUAAAACACAUAUCACAUAACACGGUAAGCAUAAAUGCUUAGUGAGUGCCCCAAAAUACCACAUACAACACAUAAGCCACCCGAGGCUAUAACUCGGUAUGACCUUCCGGUCAAUGUGUCUCAGCGGGACCCUCCAGUCCCGUAGCUCGUUGGACCCUCCGGUCCGGUCUAGCUCGUUGGACCCUCCGGUCCGGUCUAAAUCGUUGGACCCUCCGGUCCGGUCUGAUCGAGGACCCUCUGGCCUCAUGAGUUGUUGGACCUUAUGGUCCGGUCUAUAUAACUCAUAGCAUACAUAUAACACAAUGCACAUAAAUCUCAAACAUACACAUACAUAUAUAACCCUCUGGUCUGCACAUAAAUACCACUCUAGGUAAUGUAUAGUGAGAAGACUCACCUCGUAUGAAGUCGGAUAAACUCUUGUGCUCGAUAUCCCGUCCUAGCCUCCUCCUAUCAAAAUGAUAACAUCUUUAAUCAAUACUCUCUCAUGCUCUCAUUUCUAUUAAUGGGUAGAAGACUAUUCUACCCCUAUCUGACCUCUCUUGAAUUAGCUUGACUAAAACCCCAAGGUUAACUGAAAGUCAACUCUAUUCAACGGUCCAACUUUGACCAGAGUCGUCGAGUGCACCUGGGUGACUCAACGAGUCCAUGCGUGUCCUCUGAAUCCUCCUAUGGCCUCACUCGGCUCGUUGAGUUAACUCUUCACUCGACGGGUUACCACGGGUCACGAAUCGCGGGGCAACCCGUCUCGACUCGUCGAGUCCCCUUAUGGACUCGGCGAGUUACCUCCAUGGCAACACUCAAAUGACCUUCUGAGGUCAGAUAUGUUUCUCCAACUUGUAGAUCUGACCUUCUAACACCCAAUAAUCACGUAAAGGUCCAAUCUUUAAGCUCAUGCAACACUCAUAUGGCCUUAUUUGAAGAAAUAACUCCUAAAAUAGCAACCUAGGAUCACAACUCCAAUGGAACAGAAUAAAUUUGGAAGGCUGAGGCUCUCUGGACCUCUCAAGGUCCAGAUCCAAUGUCUAUUUCUCAAUGAGACCUCAGAAGCAUCAUAUUCUAACCAAGAAAGGGUAAAUAAAACCCUAGAUUCAAGGAUUCUACACAAAAUAGAAGAAAGGGUCGAAUCACUACCUCAAAAUGGAGAUCCCUGCUUGAAUGUCUCAGAAUCCCAACCUUCUUUGGUCCUUCCUGUUGAAUCCAUUCUCUUCCUUUGCAAAAUCACACAAAAAAGGCUCAAGAUGGCUCCUCCUCUCACACUAUACUCUCAAGCUCACUAGGGUUCUUUUCUAUGGAUGGUAGCCACAAUUGAGAGCUAUAAGGACACUUAAAUAGGGCACAUGCCCAAAGAUUUAGGGUUUUCUGUUCACAGCUCGGACUCGUCGAGUCGCCUUACCGACUCGUCGAGUCCAUUCAUUAAUCUAGUCAGCAAAUCGCGAUCCUACUCGACGAGUUUAAGCGCCAACUCGUCAAGUCCCUCUUCUGCACCCAAAAUAAAUAAUUAAAUUAUGAUACUUGGAAUUCUGGAUGUUACAAUUCUUCCCCACUUAAAUUAGAGUUCGCCCUCGAAAUCGCUCCUCAUCAACAUAUAGAUCUAGCGCCAUCGAUAGGAUCUCGUACCACACAACUAUCACCCCCCCUAGACACCUGAAUCCAAACAGGGAUUCCCAAUCCCAAAAUAAAACCAACCCUUCUGUUUCUCUCCAGACAUAAUCCAACAAUCGGCUGCCGAUCACUCAUACCAAACAUAGCAACGAUCCGAUUCACACCCCAAGAAACGGAAGGGUUCACGGCCACCAGGGCUCAUCCACUGAAUUGCUAUCGGAACCCAUCCGAACAAAGAAUUCUCAACACUCUGCCAUCAGACACAAGAGAAUAAUCGUGCUCGCUCAGAAAUGUCCUCAGACAUCAGAAAAAUCAUAAGCCUCACCUCCAUUCCCCAUACCUCUUUUUAACACUGAGUACCAGGUCUGAUCUCGACCCAUCAGUUGGAUCUUUAUGGCCAUCCAUUGCACUAUCCCAACCGUCUUAAUAUUUUCCUCCUCCCUAUAACUAUAUCGGCCCAUUAUGACACACAAGUCAUGAAGUUCACUUUACCCCAAGCGAAUGCUACACCCCCAACUGGAAAUCAACUCAACCCCUACCUCUUUCGUCUACUGCUCAUAGUUCCAUGCAUCUCGCGGUACCUCCCAUUCCCGAGUACUGACCUACACAGGUCUAAGACAUCAGAUAAUAAGCAAUUCCCCUCAACACGAAAUCCACCUCAGAAUCCAGAAUCUCAUUCCGCCUACCCAACGCACCACCAGAGCUAAACUCAGACUCGAGAGUUUGGUCUGACCCAGAGUUGGAACCGCUCGAUCCAAUGAAGCACUCAACUCACGACUCAUGACUCGCAACCCGCGCGUAUACCUCUUCUCCAAUUCCCUUGGGUUGCGACAACCACAACUCAAAUCAGAGUAUAACGAUUCCCGACAAAUAUAGAGACCUCUGUCUCUUUCCUGAUCUGGCUCCCAGGCUCCCGAAUACUCAACUCAAUAAGGCUACUCAAGCCUAAGAACUCUCCUGCGUCAUGCUUUGAUCAACAAAUAACGCGGCUCCCUGCCGCACCAUGACAUCCUCUUACUGACUAGUGAGUACUACGGCUCCCCACAGUAUCACAACACCCUCUCGCUGACUAGUGAGUACUACGGCUCCCCGCAGUAUCACAACACCCUCUCGCUGACUAGUGAGUACUACGGCUCCCCGCAGUAUCACAACACCCUCUCGCUGACUAGUGAGUACUACGGCUCGCUGCAGUAUCACAACACCCUCUCGCUGACUAGUGAGUACUACGGCUCCCCGCAGUAUCACAACACCCUCUCGCUGACUAGUGAGUACCACGACUCCCCGCAAUAUCACAACAUCCUCUCACUGACUAGUGAGUACCACGGCUCCNGGCUCCCUGCAGUAUCACAACACCCUCUCGCUAACUAGUGAGUACUGCGGCUCCCCGCAGUAUCACAACACCCUCUCGCUGACUAGUGAGUACCACGACUCCCCGCAAUAUCACAACAUCCUCUCACUGACUAGUGAGUACCACGGCUCCCCUCAGUAUCACAACACCCUCUCGCUGACUAGUGAGUACUACGGCUUCCCGCAGUAUCACAACACCUUCUCGCUGACUAGUGCAUGCUGCAGCUCCCUGAAGCCUUACCGCACUUUCUCUUACCACCCACGAUCUCAACCUCAAGUCGGCUCCACACGCUGCAUCCAUUAACCCACGUUCCACGACCCAAGAUAGAGAGGUGCACACAUACCCAUCCAAAAGUAAGUGUCACUACUCCUGACGACAAUCGACAUGACAACUCCUUUUCUUGCUGCAAUCCUCAUUCUUUAAUAAUCGCAUUUAACAUCAAUUAGUCGAUGUGCUCCCCCCGAAUACUUUGGUACACCAACACAGAAUCUCACGAUGUUUUGCCCAAUCCACUGAUCUUAUACUCACAACCCCAUGCUUGGAUACCGCAUUGCUCUUUCGGAACCUCCCAACCGAUCUUCCUCUCGCACAACUUGAACCCUCAGAGUAUUCCAUCUCCUAACUUAAAACAUCGAGGCAUCGACAAUGGCUCAGAACAUGUUGUCGAGAACCCGAAACUCCCCCUCUACCGGUCACUACUCAUACGAAACUACUCAUCUCGACCCUGAAAUUGGUUGACGAAUCAACUGCUGCCCCUUUCAGGGGUAUAGAUUACAAUCUGUACCUUCACUUGCAAAUCUCAACUAUUGAAUCCGCAAUCCAACAACCCGAUCGCACUCGAACUCGACAUAUGUUAACCCCGAGAAGCACAUGCCACAAAGAAUCUUCUAAUUCACUCAUUCUUUCUCAAACACAUACCAUAAACAUUAUCUCGCUCUGCACCUAUCCUCGAUCACCAAUAACCCUGGACCCCUGAAUCCGCACUGCAGGUAUCUAUAUCCAGAUCUUUAACCGUUCUCGAACAAAUCUCUGAUCCCCUCAAUAACAUACCCGGUUCUCCCACACUUAGGGUUCGAACCAUCACCAAUUGGCGCGCCAACAAUCUAUCCCACAGACUGUUUCCACUAGUAACAUAGCACCUACUCUUGGAAGGUGCUACGCAACACUCGAUGAUCUCCCCGACAGAGAUCAAGCAUCUCCCAAUAGCCCGAAUAUCAGAUGAAAUCCUCAGAACUUCCCAUCCUGUAUGCCUCUAGUCAGUCAGAAUCUCACACAUUCCAUCACUGGACUUCCCAAUUGUCCAGUAUCAACCCUGAUCUGGAAAUAGUGAACUAUCAUCCUCCUCAUCCUCGACUCCUCAACCCACUCCCCAUCACGUCUCUCAUGAUAGGAGUAAAACCCACAUUACCACUCUCGAUACCCAUCCAAGACAAUAAGAGCCACCACCCUAUUAUACCCCUCUUGAUCGUCCGACACUGCAGCUGGCACAUUCCCUACUAUACUCAAUAGGGUGUAUCCUGGUCCUUGACCAUCUCGGUCCCCACUGAUGACCUGAUAAAGCUAUAUCUUUACCUCGCAGCAGGCCCACUUCCAUAUACUCUGAUUGAAUAUCACCCUCAUUGCAAUCCCACAGGGCUCACCCCCAAACUCAGGAGCUGAAAUCUCAACACCUCUUACGUCUCCCACUGGAAACGGAGUUAGCACUACUCAGGUCACAGAAAGUGACAUCUCUACUAUUGGUCGGUCACCCAGCCUAGACCGUAUUCUUCCAUAACUCACCAUCCCUACUCAUCCCUGAGUCUUGCGGUUCCAACUGGCAUAUCACCAACAAUCCCUCGGAGCUAAGUCGAUUUCCCUCUCCAGGGAUGCUCUACUAAAACUCGUUCAUCAUGGCCUUCUGGCCCUAAACUCUUUCACAUCUGAAUCUCAGUCCAGACAAUCACCACGAAAUAACCGGUAAAACCAGAAGCACUAACUGUCGCAUGUCAUGGUACUCAAACCAUGUGACCACCUCUUGAUCCGCUAUGAAUCAUGGUACCUGUACCAUGUUAUCUCCUCUUAAUCUACUACGAAUCAUGGUAUUCGAACCAUGUACUCUCUUCUCAAUCUUCCUCAAAUCAUAGUACUCGAACCAUGAUGUCACCUAUCGAUCUGCUACUUAUCAUGGUACUCGAACCAUGACAUCACAUCUCGAUCUGCUACUUAGAUCCUCCGGAAUACUGCUUGUAUCGGGUAUGGGUCCUUUGCUUUCAGUAGUACGGGGCCAUACUACCUGCCACAUCUAUCCAUACUCUCUACACGGACCAUCCCAUAUUCCCUAAGUAACUGCUCAACCUUCUCAAUUGCCAAUCCCAACACGCGUGCUCGCUCCCCAGCGAAAUGCUCUACUCUGUCAGCGUACUCAUCUUACUAAGGUCACAUCCUAGGCUCUUCCUAGGUUCUCACACUUCCCCGCCAUCAGCUGCUGAGAAACUCCUUAUGAUUCCAGUCAUCUACCUCCUAAACAUCAUCACAUUCAAUUGGUAGAUGGCUCCCAUCAUCGGGCAUUCCACAAAGCACGAAGCAAGCAGCAUUCGGACAUCGAAUAAACACGUAAAACCCACUCUAGGUGAUAACUCCACUUGCUUUACUCAUACUAAAAAGAUAUCACCGAACUCUGCAACUCUACCCCUUGCGGGUAUCUAGCUACUCUCUUGAUAGGCUCCACAAAUGCUCAUCUAGGCAUCUCUCCUAGAUUACUCCUCUACUCAAAUCCCGCUCUACAAGGAUUCAUGCUAGACACUCUCACUCAGCACAUACUCGAAAGUGAAUCACAGAAAGCAGCAACUCCUAGGCUAAGGCAUCACAAAUCAGGCCACUCUAGUCCUAAAUAUGAAUACCUAGCCUACUCUAGCAUGCAUAAUAUCUCAUAACAAAUAACGUAAGGGCAUUUUGGGAAAUCACCGUUCGGGCGCUGGCUGAUCGUACACACUGCUCCGUUCUGCUCGUCUCAAAGUCCUUUUACUCAUUUAGAAAAAUUGUUUAAUUAUGAAAUUUUUCUCAAAUCCUCAGUUUGAGUUCAGAUACACCCGAAGGUCAUCCAAAUCNCUCAAACCAAGGCUCUGAUACCAACUUGUAACAAUGUAAAUUUUAAAAACAAUUUUCCAAAUUUUCAAACACAAUAAAACUCAUAUAACAUUCUCAAAAUCCCAUGUUUAUCCGAUGUCAUCACAAUAAAACAUAUCCCAGAAUCUCAAAAAACAUAAUCUCCUACCAGUGUGUACAAAUAAUGUCGGCGCCUUCUCGCGAUCCUUGCUAGUGCCUGAAACACAUAUCACAUAACACGGUAAGCAUAAAUGCUUAGUGAGUGCCCCAAAAUACCACAUACAACACAUAAGCCACCCGAGGCUAUAACUCGGUAUGACCUUCCGGUCAAUGUGUCUCAGCGGGACCCUCCAGUCCCGUAGCUCGUUGGACCCUCCGGUCCGGUCUAGCUCGUUGGACCCUCCGGUCUCUGGCCUCAUGAGUCGUUAGACCCUCUGGUCCGGUCUAUAUAACUCAUAGCAUACAUAUAACACAAUGCACAUAAAUCUCAAACAUACACAUACACAUAAGACCCUCUAGUCUGCACAUAGAUACCGCUCUAGGUAAUGUAUAGUGAGAAGACUCACCUCGUAUGAAAUCAGAUAAACUCUCGUGCUCGAUAUCCUGUCCUAGCCUCCUCCUAUCAAAAUGAUAACAUCUCUAAUCAAUACUCUCUCAUGCUCUUAUUUCUAAUAAUGGGUAGAAGACUAUUCUACCCCUAUCUGACCUCUCUUGAAUCAGCUUGACUAAAACCUCAAGGUCAACUGAAAGUCAACUCUAGUUAACGGUCCAACUUUGACCAGAGUCGUCGAGUGCACCUGGGUGACUUAGCAAGUCCAUGCGUGUCCUCUGAAUCCUCCUAUGGCCUCACUCGGCUCGUCGAGUUAACUCUUCACUCGACGGGUUACCAUGGGUCACGAAUCGUGGGGCAACCGGUCUCGACUUGUCGAGUCCUCUUAUGGACUCGGCGAGUUCCCUCCAUGGCAACACUCAAAUGACCUUCUGAGGUUAGAUCUGUUUCUCCAACUUGUAGAUCCGACCUUCUAACACCUAAUAAUCACGUAAAUAUCCAAUCUUUAAGCUCAUGCAACACUCAUAUGGCCUUAUUUGAAGAAAUAGCUCCUGAAAUAGCAACCUAGGUUCACAACUCCAAUGGAACAGAAUAAAGCUGGAAGGCUGGGGCUCUCUGGACCUCUCAAGGUCCAGAUCCAAUGUCUAUUUCUCAAUGGGACCUCAUAAGCAUCAUAUUCUAACCAAGAAAGGGUAAAGAAAACCCUAGAUUCAAGGAUUCUACACAAAAUAGAAGAAAGGGUCGAAUCACUACCUCAAAAUGGAGAUCCCUAGUUGAAUGUCUCAGAAUCCUAACCUCCUUUGGUCCUUCCUGCUGAAUCCCUUCUCUUCCUUUUCAAAAUCACACCAAAAAGGCUCAAGAUCACACUAUACUCUCAAGCUCAUUAGGGUUCUUUUCUCUGGAAUGGUAGCCGCAACUGAGAGCUAUAAGGACCCUUAAAUAGGGCAUAGGCCCAAUAAUUUAGGGUUUUCUGUCUACAGCUCGGACUCGUCGAGUCGCCUUACCGACUCAUCAAGUCCAUUCAUUAAUCCAGUCAGCAAAUCGCGAUCCUACUCGACGAGUUUAAGCGCCAACUCGUCGAGUCCCUCUUCUGCACCCAAAAUAAAUAAUUAAAUUAUGAUACCUGGCAUUCCGGAUGUUACAGUGCAUAUAUGCAGGUAACCCUUACCCUACCCGUAUGUUGUAUUCUUAAAAUUCUGCUAUUUUGGGCAAUUGUUUGCCAUUUUUUGUCUUCAAAUCUUGCUGUCAGGUGAAAGAAAUUGCAAUCUAGAUUCAUUUUUUGUGCUAAACCAUUGCUUUCAAUUUCAAACCACUCACUAGGCACUAAUAUGAGUUUGUCCUAAGUUUUGCACAUAUUUAACCAUAAUAUCUAGCUAAUCUUUAUAAAAAUCGCUAUCUAAUUUCGGAAGGUAUAUUAAAUUCAAUUAACAAAUUAUUUGCUAAUAUUAAUCAAAUGCACAAAUUUAACCCUAAAAUCUUGGAAAUUCUAAUUUCAAAUUUUCAAACUAUUACGCACAAAGUAUGAAAAUCAUACUUUCAGUAAAUUGAAAUUUACCUGAUUGUGCCUUUGCUCUUGAAGUAUUUUGAGUUACACCUCAUACUAUUUCGGUUUUCUAUAAGUUCUUCAUAAGAAUCAAAUUUCUGCAAAAAAUAAUCUGGUAUAAUUUCUUCCAACUAAUCUAUGUUUUGUUAAAAAAAACUAUUGUUAACAAAAAUUUACAUCUUACCUUCAAUUGUCACAUCUUCAGACCCUAUCCGUUUGUACCUUCAAUUGUAACAUCGGUAUAAGUUUCUACUCCCUUCAAAUUUGAUUCGAUUAUCGUAUAUUCCUAUUUGCCUUCACGAUAGCAAUGGACAAACUUCCGCAUCUUUUUGAAAUGAAUGCCUUGGAGAUGUUAAUCUUGAUUGCGGAGAUAUCAAUUUCGAUAUUCGAUUGUUCUAGGUCUUUG